rnacentral:rRNA from 1 species
GGAAUUUUCCGCAAUGGGCGAAAGCCUGACGGAGCAACGCCGCGUGAGGGAUGAAGGCCUCUGGGCUGUAAACCUCUUUUAUCAAGGAAGAAGAUCUGACGGUACUUGAUGAAUAAGCCACGGCUAAUUCCGUGCCAGCAGCCGCGGUAAUACGGGAGUGGCAAGCGUUAUCCGGAAUUAUUGGGCGUAAAGCGUCCGCAGGCGGUCUGUCAAGUCUGCUGUUAAAGCGUGGAGCUUAACUCCAUUUCGGCAGUGGAAACUGACAGACUAGAGUGUGGUAGGGGCAGAGGGAAUUCCCGGUGUAGCGGUGAAAUGCGUAGAGAUCGGGAAGAACACCAGUGGCGAAGGCGCUCUGCUGGGCCAUAACUGACGCUCAUGGACGAAAGCCAGGGGAGCGAAAGGGAUUAGAUACCCCAGUAGUC